GCGCCGUUAGCUCAAUUGGAUAGAGUGCGUGGCUACGAACCACGAGGUUGGGAGUUCAAGUCUCUUACGGCGUG
rnacentral:tRNA from 1 species